rnacentral:lncRNA from 1 species
UUCACAAUUAUAUAUGUUCAAGUGUUGGGAGUACAAUCUUUAAUGUGCAAUACAAACCAUACGAGAGACCGGCUAAACCCUAGCAAGUAUCAAAUGUCAUGGCUUCAAGAGACGCCUUCACCGCUUAACCAUGUCAACUUGUAAAGCAUGAACCAAGCGCUCGUAGCUUGGUGGUAAAGGAGGUACAGUUGUACUGCCCGCCACCCGGGUUCGAGCCUUGGCCACAACAGAUUUAACAUCCUUUCCGUUGGGGCGCUGGACGAGGGGAUAGUUGGGAAUGUCGCUGCCCAGAUAUCAGAGUUAUCAAAAAAAAAAAACUUGUAAAGCAUGCCUUACUUAUUUUGUUGUAAUCGUAAAUUCGUAACUUAUAUUGUAAGUUAUUCAUAUGAUUACAACUUGCAAGAUAAGCUCAUGGAUCACAUCAUUAACAAACGAACAAAAAUACCUAAAAUCAAGUAGAAUUUUAGAUAAGAAUUAACAAUGAAAAACAAAAUUAUUGGUGGUGGAGGUUGCGGAGCCGAAAGCGUUUCUCAAGCUAAAAAACAAAUUGUGUAAAAUUAUUAUUUUGUGCCACUGAAAGUAACAAUUUUCAUGAAGCUUAUACUUUGACCCUUGCAAGAAAAGAUUAUUCUAUAUUUGGAUCUCAUUUUCACAUUGGUCGGUGGUGGUCCUGGUGGAUUGUAAUAAACUAUGAGGCUAAGGUCAGAUGUAUUUGCUAACUCUAUACAAAUUAUAUUAUAUUACAUAAAACCUGAUAAAUUUCCCCCCAUUUUCUUACAUUAAUUUUAUUUUAAAAGCUAUGUUUAUACUUCAUAGUCAAUUCUGAUUAUUUAUGUGAUACAUUUUGGAUUCUUUGGUAGAAAAUACUAAUAACAAAAGAACAUGCAAAUGGUAUAAUACACAUGUAUUCUUAUUGUUUGAAAUUUUGUUUCUUACGUUUAGCAAAAGGUUUAUUCAGAGUCGAUAUAUAGUGCAUGUUGGAAAACAUUAAAUUUGUGGACGUUGGUAAAUCCACGGGAUGAGCCGUUGGACAUUAGACACAAACAAAACAAUAUGUUUAGAAAAUAUGCAUUCACAAUUAUAUAUGUUCAAGUGUUGGGAGUACAAUCUUUAAUGUGCAAUACAAACCAUACGAGAGACCGGCUAAACCCUAGCAAGUAUCAAAUGUCAUGGCUUCAAGAGACGCCUUCACCGCUUAACCAUGUCAACUUGUAAAGCAUGAACCAAGCGCUCGUAGCUUGGUGGUAAAGGAGGUACAGUUGUACUGCCCGCCACCCGGGUUCGAGCCUUGGCCACAACAGAUUUAACAUCCUUUCCGUUGGGGCGCUGGACGAGGGGAUAGUUGGGAAUGUCGCUGCCCAGAUAUCAGAGUUAUCAAAAAAAAAAAACUUGUAAAGCAUGCCUUCUUCCGAGACUUGAAGCACGCAUAUACUAUCAACGAAAUUAUUGGGUUGGCCAAAGCUAGUAAUAUCAUGUUCCACUAAUAAACUAAGAAAAAUAAAAAACCUAGCAAAGAAAGUAAGAUAAGAAAAAACAUAGUCAUGGAUCAGAAUAAUUGUGGUUGAAUAUAAUAAACAAAACCGUAAAGGGCAGAGACAAAACUCAGAGCAUCUGCAUCCCUUAAGGUUUCUUAUUUUUUAUUUUUUAUUUUUUUCUGAUUAGAAAAAAAUAAAAAACGCUCCAAUCGCGGACCGCUACGUGUCGGUGGGACCACAAAC